rnacentral:rRNA from 1 species
UACACGACCGUACCGCAAACCGACACUGGUGCGCGAGAUGAGUAUUCUAAGGCGCUUGAGAGAACUCAGGAGAAGGAACUCGGCAAAUUGACACCGUAACUUCGGAAGAAGGUGUGCCUUUAGUAGGUGAACCAUUUACUUGGGGAGCCCAAUGAGGCUGCAAAAAAUCGGUGGCUGCAACUGUUUAUUAAAAACACAGCACUCUGCUAAGACGAAAGUCGACGUAUAGGGUGUGACGCCUGCCCGGUGCUGGAAGAUUAAAUGAUGGGGUGCAAGCUCUUGAUUGAAGUCCCAGUAAACGGCGGCCGUAACAAUAACGGUCCUAAGGUAGCGAAAUUCCUUGUCGGGUAAGUUCCGACCUGCACGAAUGGCGUAAUGAUGGCCACACUGUCUCCUCCUGAGACUCAGCGAAGUUGAAAUGUUUGUGAUGAUGCAAUCUCCCCGCGGAAAGACGGAAAGACCCCAUGAACCUUUACUGUAGCUUUGUAUUGGACUUUGAACAGAUCUGUGUAGGAUAGGUGGGAGGCUUUGAAGUGUGGUCGCUAGAUCGCAUGGAGCCAACGUUGAAAUACCACCCUGGUGUGUUUGAGGUUCUAACCUAGGUCCAUUAUCUGGAUCGGGGACAGUGCAUGGUAGGCAGUUUGACUGGGGCGGUCUCCUCCCAAAGUGUAACGGAGGAGUUCGAAGGUACGCUAGGUACGGUCGGACAUCGUGCUAAUAGUGCAAUGGCAUAAGCGUGCUUAACUGCGAGACUGACAAGUCGAGCAGAUGCGAAAGCAGGACAUAGUGAUCCGGUGGUUCUGUAUGGAAGGGCCAUCGCUCAACGGAUAAAAGGUACUCUGGGGAUAACAGGCUGAUACCGCCCAAGAGUUCAUAUCGACGGCGGUGAUUGGCACCUCGAUGUCGGCUCAUCUCAUCCUGGGGCUGUAGCCGGUCCCAAGGGUAUGGCUGUUCGCCAUUUAAAGAGGUACGUGAGCUGGGUUUAAAACGUCGUGAGACAGUUUGGUCCCUAUCUUCCGUGGGCGCUGCAGAUUUGAGGAAGCCUGCUCCUAGUACGAGAGGACCGGAGUGGACGAACCUCUGGUGUAUCGGUUGUCACGCCAGUGGCAUUGCCGAGUAGCUAAGUUCGGAAGAGAUAACCGCUGAAAGCAUCUAAGCGGGAAACUCGUUUCAAGAUUAGAUCUGCCGGGGCCUUGAGCCCCCUAAAGAGUCGUUCAAGACCAGGACGUUGAUAGGUCAGGUGUGGAAGUG